rnacentral:rRNA from 1 species
AUUGAACGCUGGCGGCAGGCUUAACACAUGCAAGUCGAGCGGAGAUGAGGUGCUUGCACCUUAUCUUAGCGGCGGACGGGUGAGUAAUGCUUAGGAAUCUGCCUAUUAGUGGGGGACAACAUUCCGAAAGGAAUGCUAAUACCGCAUACGCCCUACGGGGGAAAGCAGGGGAUCUUCGGACCUUGCGCUAAUAGAUGAGCCUAAGUCGGAUUAGCUAGUUGGUGGGGUAAAGGCCUACCAAGGCGACGAUCUGUAGCGGGUCUGAGAGGAUGGUCCGCCACACUGGGACUGAGACACGGCCCAGACUCCUACGGGAGGCAGCAGUGGGGAAUAUUGGACAAUGGGCGGAAGCCUGAUCCAGCCAUGCCGCGUGUGUGAAGAAGGCCUUUUGGUUGUAAAGCACUUUAAGCGAGGAGGAGGCUACCUGGAUUAAUACUCUAGGAUAGUGGACGUUACUCGCAGAAUAAGCACCGGCUAACUCUGUGCCAGCAGCCGCCGUAAGAC